rnacentral:lncRNA from 1 species
AUGCCCUCAAGGACAUGCUUGUGUGACCAGAAUGCUUUGAAGAGACCUGGGUGGAAUGAGAUUGGCCAGUGGAAGAACUAUUUCUUUCCUCUCUUCCCCCACCCCCCCUCUCAUUUUGCUCCUCAUAUGACCUGCAAUUUUGGCACAGUGCAAAUGACCUGUUCGCUUCAGACUUAUUUGCUCCUGGGCUGGCAGCAGGACGAGUCUGGCUGCAGCAGCAAGAUUAUCAUUCUAAGAAAAUAGACUGGAAGGACAAUCCCUUGAGACAAUAGCAGGGACAUAUAUAUUUAUUCACAACAGAAGCAAUUCCAGUGAUUUCAAAGUCCUGGGUAACCAAAAGAAAGUGGUUCUUGAUCCGUAUAGCUAUUUUAAAUUCCUACUGAGUUUAAUAACCAUUUUGAGAUGCUCCCUUCCAAACUACAGAUGGCAUCAGAAGUCAGUGAGAUCUUCCUCGCUGAAACUUGAGAGCUGCUUCCACUUUAAUGUACUUCCAACAAGUAGUAGCUUAAAAGUAGAUCUCUACAUGGAACAAUCUGCUAUCCUCCCUUUCAAUUGUAUGAAGAUACAAAAGCUGAAUGGGGUUCUGCCCUGUCCUACUUUAGGGAUAUGAAUAAGAAAUGUUCAUGUUAAAAACAGUCUUCAAUUUCUAGAGGAAUAGGUAUGUUUUAUAUCUCUUUAGUAAUCUCUUAAAUAUCUUCUGCUCAUGAUGCACUCACAUAUUACACUGUUGUCUGUUCUCUUUAUAUGGAAAAUGGCUGCCUGGAAACAGUAUCAAAGACUAUCUUAGGCAUUGAGAAAUUGUUUACUCAGGAAAUUACAUAUCUAUAGAUAAAACAGGAUGAAGUUUGCUUGCUACAUACACCAAGACAAGGCAAAGAUUGUACGAAGAGGAGAUGGGAGAGGAAGUUAAGCCAGAUGUGAAAAUACCUAUUUAUAAUAUUGGAAUCAAUAGAUUGGUUAAGACAGGCGCAAACACAAGAGGGAAUCUUAAUUACUUGAACAUGUAGAGUUGCAUAUUUCUCAACUUCCUAUGUGGCCACCCUGGAGUUGUCCAUCAGAUUGCUACAGAUUUGAGCUGUGUUCAAUGUAUUCGCGAAGGCUUUCACGGCCAGGAUCUAAUGGUUGUUGUGGGUUUUUCGGGCUCUUUGGACGUGUUCCGAAGGUUGUUCUUCCUAACGUUUCUCCAGUCUCUGUGGCCGGCAUCUUCAGAGGACAGCUUAGCAUCUCAAGCAGUUAGGAUUGA